ensembl:lincRNA
CAGCCAGGGACCUCUGGGAGGUCACAGCCAGCAAACCCGGGAAGGUGGUGGAGGGGAGCAGGGGCUUCCGGAGCCCAAGUGUCAGGCUGAAGGCCCUGCCUGCCGGGGAGGCCUCUGUGGUGAGCUCUUCCUACAAUGGAUCCCACCCAGAUGGCUCUCACCAGGCCUCUCCCUCUGCUCUAGGGCCUCCCAGAAUUCUCCGCCACCCCCACCUGCCGCCUGCCUCCUCCUCCAGGAAGCUUUCCCUGACCACCCCACCCACGAGGGUCUGCUCUGUCUCCUGCCCAUCACAGCUGCGCCACAGCACCUUCCCCAGCCUCCUCGUGUGUGCUGGCUCCACAUCACCAACUAGACCGGCUGGCCAGUCCUUCCAUGGAGAAGAAGAAGCCAAGAAAAAGGAAGAAAACCCACAAGUGACUAGGACUGGGGUGGGGGCUGAGCAAUGUCAACUCCUCCUCACUGACGUGGCUCCUUCAUUCCUCCCAGCAGCCCAUGGCACAGAGGAGGUGAGGGGGAGGCGGACGUGCCGUGGGUUGGUCUCGUUGUGACUUCUCCCUACAAAUGGGACAGAGAGCCCAUUGGGGUAGACAUUUGUCCCCAGCCCUCUCACAGCACCUAAGACUCACUAGGCCUGGAUGUGACACUCGAGGGGCCCUGUCACUUGGGCUCCAGGCCCCAGGCUCAUACAUGGGUCUGUAUCACUUCACUCUCCAUUUCUGGCUUUUCCUGUGCCCCCUCCCCGUCUCUGCACCUUGCCAAGCUGCUCCUGAGCUCUGAGCAAGCCUUCCCUUCGCAAGUCCCAGCACAGCAGGACACCCUGCCUCCCUCCCCAGCCCAGCCUGGGGACCACUUCCCCCUUCCUUAUUAGCAGCUGUGAAAAGAGAAGGCGUCCUCUCGCGGUCAUCCUCGCAGCAGACUUGGAGGAAUUGAAGGACACACUGCGAAGCGUGAAGAAAACACCCUCGCUUGCCAAGAGGCCCAGGCGGCUAUUUUAAUCGAGUGGAACAGCCCUCUCUUCAUGGAAAAUUUGCUACUCCAGCACCUGUGGCACUGAAGGUGGUGGCUCACUCUUCCCUGGGCUGCCCAGGGUCACUCUCACCACCGCCAGGACUGGCUGCCAGCUCAGAUAAUUAUGCCCACCACCCUGCCUCCAGCCUUUCCAGCCAGCCCUGCGUCCUGGGAGCAGCUCCGCCUCCGACCUCCGCGGUGUCUGGAAUAAGCAGCGGCAGCAGCAGGAUCCUCCCCACACCCUCAGAGUAGACACACAAAUUGUGAGCUGUACGAUUUAAUACUACUAUGUUAUUUAGUCAUAGAAAGAGACGAAGCACGGAUACGUGCUACUACAACAUGGACGAACCUUGGGAACAGCCGCUCUCAUUGGGGAUACGCCAGUCACUGAUGAUAUGACCGCGCCGAUGCGCAAAGUUCGGAACAGGCAAAUCCACCUGAAUGGGAGGCCUGUCACCUGCCAGGUGCACGGGGAGGAGGGAACGGGAAGGGACUGUACCACGAGAAUGGGCUUUUUGGGGUGACAGAAACGUCAGUGAUAG